UACGUAGGGGGCUAGCGUUGUCCGGAAUCAUUGGGCGUAAAGCGCGUGUAGGCGGCCCGGUAAGUCCGCUGUGAAAGUCGGGGGCUCAACCCUCGGAUGCCGGUGGAUACUGUCGGGCUAGAGUACGGAAGAGGCGAGUGGAAUUCCUGGUGUAGCGGUGAAAUGCGCGGAUAUCAGGAGGAACACCAAUUGCGAAGGCAGCUCGCUGGGACGUCACUGACGCUGAGACGCGAAAGCGUGGGGAGCAAACAGG
rnacentral:rRNA from 1 species